CAUGUGAACUGUGCUAAGGACCUUUGAAGCUGUGCUCCUUCUUCCCAAUAUGACAUCUGGGUUAAGGAGAAGCUUACUUUAUAUGGCAAAUUGACUAGUACAUAGUAGACCUCAAUGAAUAAUAAUUUGUUGAAAGUUUUCCUCUUCCAAGGCUCAGUUUCUUCAUCUGUGAAUUAAGGAUGUUGCUCAAGAAGGGACAGGAGUGAAGUGUCCAGGCUCAUCAACAGUCUGUGUGCAAAGUUACAGAAAAUUUCUUCUCACAGCCUUUGAGAGAGAAAAUUCUAUGGCCUUCAGACUUGGAUUAGAACUACACCACCGGCUCUCCAGGAUCUGCAGCUUGUAGAUGGCAGAUUGUGGACAUUCUCAGCCUUCAUAAUCAUGGCUCGUCCCAAGUGGAUCUUUCAGAAAGCCCUUCUCUGACCACAAUAUAGUGCUAGUGCCACCGCUGCCCACCCCGUGGUGUGCUAGACUCGUCCAACUUAGAAUCACCACUACUCCCUGCAAGUGUGUCCAUGGUGCUAAACAUCCCCAAGUAUUUGUAUAUAGUGCUUUGUACAGGGUGAUUUAUGUGCAUUCAUGUGAUGGUUCAGAAUCUCAACGAGAGGACGAUGUUUGCCACUGCUGUACAGAAAAAGGUGAUCCAGCAGCUGCAGAUGAUUAGAAGUGAAUGGCAAAGCAAUGUCAAGAGAUUCUACAUCCACAAAACAAGAGUUUCAACCACAGAAGGGCACAAGGAGACAAACUCAGACUCCAAGGUUGUCAAGUACA
rnacentral:lncRNA from 1 species